UACGAAGGGGGCUAGCGUUGUUCGGAUUUACUGGGCGUAAAGCGCACGUAGGCGGAUCGUUAAGUCGGGGGUGAAAUCCUGGAGCUCAACUCCAGAACUGCCUUCGAUACUGGCGAUCUUGAGUCCGGAAGAGGUGAGUGGAACUCCUAGUGUAGAGGUGGAAUUCGUAGAUAUUAGGAAGAACACCAGUGGCGAAGGCGGCUCACUGGUCCGGUACUGACGCUGAGGUGCGGAAAGCGUGGGGAGCAAAACAGGAUUGAGAA
rnacentral:rRNA from 1 species